CAGCCAAGAGAGCUGUGCUGUACCUUGUCCACGGUGAGGGGAAGGAAGGAGUGCAGAGAGUGUGAGGCUCUCCUUAACGAUUCUGUCCGUAAACCCCAGGUGUUGGCGGAGUGUGGGGAGGAGAGGAAGUCACGAGUAAAUGGAUAAAGAUCAGAAGCGCCGAGUGACAGCAAUGGAAAACAGACUAGCAUGCUGAUCGCUAUUCUCCUCUCUCCCACCUGUGCUUCCCCAGAAGAGAUUUGGUUUUCUCCUUGGCAAGUGUGGGAAGUUCAACAGUGAAAGAAACACUGGACUGGAAGGAACACCUGGGACUUGGAGGGCAUGGAACUGAUAAAAGCUAAGUUUUCAGGAACAAAUCUUCCACUGUACAAACAUAGGUCUGCCUGGCCACAGGCCGGACUAUCAGGACUGACAUGGAAUGUCUAUGCUGGCUAGCUUGAGAGGGCUGGCCCACUGGGCACCAGGCUCACUGUGGUGAGGCGUUGAGAGCCCAGAGGCUUUCCUGGCCUGCAAACCUGAGACUGGCCAGGAGACACGCACAUCUGUGUUCUUGGUGUCAGCGUUCAUUCUUCGUGCUUUGGCAGAGAAAUUUUCUGGGCUGGGACCUUUUACUUCAGGACAAAAGAGCAAAAAUCAAAGAAUGCAUCUUCUGAAAUUCCAUGGCCAAAUGUGCCUGUUGGUCCAGACUGCUCUUUGUUCCACAGUGGAGCUGGAGCUGGCCUGCAGGAGCAAGCUUUCCUUGAGUGCACACAACAUGCAAGGCCUUUGUACUAAGAACACACAUAAUGGUCAUGGAGUCCAUUGGGGAAGCACUGGGUGGUUUGAUGAUUUCUUGCUUUCAGUGUGACUUGAAACCCCACACU